GAUGAACGCUAGCGACAGGCCUAACACAUGCAAGUCGAGGGGCAGCAUGAAAUUAGCUUGCUAAUUUUGAUGGCGACCGGCGCACGGGUGAGUAACACGUAUGCAACCUGCCUGUAAGCGGGGGAUAACCCGGAGAAAUUCGGACUAAUACCGCAUAAUAUCAUUGAUUCGCAUGUUUCAAUGAUUAAAAAUUUAUGGCUUACAGAUGGGCAUGCGUAUGAUUAGCUAGGUGGCGGGGUAACGGCCCACCAAGGCGACGAUCAUUAGGGGUUCUGAGAGGAAGGACCCCCACAUUGGAACUGAGACACGGUCCAAACUCCUACGGGAGGCAGCAGUGAGGAAUAUUGGUCAAUGGACGAAAGUCUGAACCAGCCAUGUCGCGUGAAGGAUGACUGUCCUAUGGAUUGUAAACUUCUUUUAUAUGGGGAUAAAGUGUGAGACUUGUCUCAUUUUGCAUGUACCAUAUGAAUAAGCAUCGGCUAACUCCGUGCCAGCAGCCGCAGUAAUAC
rnacentral:rRNA from 1 species